rnacentral:lncRNA from 1 species
GUGAUGCCCCCCAAGCCGCAAAACCAGCAAGUUUUUAUUAGUGAUUUUCAAAAGAGGAGGGAGUGUAUGAAUAGGGUGUAGGUCACAGAGAUCACAUGCUUUACAAGGUAAUAAAAUAUCACAAGGCAAAUGGAGGUACCGGGCAUGCAUUGUCAUUGAUUUUUGGGCAUGCGUUGUCAUUGGUAACAUCUUAUCAGGAGACAGGGUUUGAGAGCAGAUGGCCCGUCUGACCAAAAUUUAUUAGGUGGGAAUUUCCUUGUCCUAAUAAGCCUGGGAGUGCUUCGGGAGACCAGGGCUUAUUUCAUCCCUUAUCUACAACCAUAAAAGACAGACGUUCCCAACGUGGCCAUUUUAGAUACCUCCCCUUGGGAACACAUUCUCUUUCUUAGGGAUGUUCCUUGUUGAGAAAAAGAAUUCAGCCAUAUUUCUCCUAUUUGAUUUUGAAAGAAGAGAAAUAUGGCUCUGUUUCACCUGGUGCUCAGGCAGCCAGACUUAAUGGUUAUCUCCCUUAUUCCCUGAACAUCGCUGUUAUCCUGUUCUUUUUUCAAGGUGCUCCAAUUUCAUAUUUAAAAAAAUUGUGCAGUUAACGCAAUCAUCACAGGGUCCUGAGGCGACAUUCAUCCUCAGCUUAGGAAGAUGAUGGGAUUAAUAGAUUAAAGUAAAGACAAGCAUAGGAAAUCACAAGAGUACUGAUUGGGGAAGUGUUGGGAGCAAGCUCCCCAAAAUCUGGCCAUAAACUGGCCCCAACACUGGCUAUAAACAAAUCUCUGCAGCACUGCGACAUGUCCAUAAUGGCCCUAACACCCAAGCUGGAAGAUUGUGGGUUUACGGGAAUGAGGGCAAGGACCACCUGGCCCACCCAGGGCAGAAAACUGCUUAAAGGCAUUCUUAAGCCACAAACAAAAGCCUGAGUGAUCUGUGUCUUAAGGGCAUGUUCUUGCUGCAGUUAGAUAAGCCUAACCUAUUCAAUUAAUUCGGCCCAUCCCUUCGCUUCCCAUAAGGGAUACUUUUAGUUAAUUUAACAUCUAUAGAAAGGAUGCUAAUGACUGGUUUGCUGUUAAUAAAUAAGUGGGUAAAUCUCUGUUCGGGGCUCUCAGCUCUGAAGUCUGGGAGACCCCUGAUUUCCCACUUCACACUUCUUUAUUUCUGUGUGUGUGUCUUUAAUUCCUCUAGCACUGCUGGGUUAGGGUCUCCCUGACUGAGCUGGUCUCAGCAGGGAAGUGAUAAGUGUCCAUGAAAUCUUCACAGUUUAUGUUUAGAGAUUGCAGUAAAGACAGGUGUAUGAAAUUAUAAAAGUAUUAGUUGGGGGAACUAAUAAAUGUCCAUGAAAUCUUCACAAUUUAUGUUCUUCUGCCAUGGCUUCAGCCGGUCCCUCCAUUCGGGGUCCCUGACUUCCCACAACAUCUCUCCCUUUCUUUUUAUAUAAGUGUGCCAUGGUGAUGAAGGCUUGUUCGUUCUCUCGAUUUUGACACAGGAUUCUUUGACUGGUCCGGCACACUAAAAAGAACCCCAUCUGAGGGCUGUCUCUGACACGGACGUCUUUUCCCGUGGUUUUCGUUGUCAGUAUUCACCCGAAGCUUGAGUCUCCUGAUGGGUACUCAGACAGGGAAUUGAUGAUCUCAUAUCCAGGGGCGUUGUCUGUCUUUAUUUGAUAUGGAAGCCCUGUACCUUCUUGGGUUGCAAAAGAGACCAAACUGUCAACUUUAUGGUUACCGACAGACGUGGGUCCUGGUAAAGUGGUAUGAGAUCUAAUAUGUGUAAUAUAGAAAGGGUGUCUACGUUGGUGAACCGCCUGUUGUAACCU